rnacentral:rRNA from 1 species
CAAACGACUCUCGGCAACGGAUAUCUCGGCUCACGCAUCGAUGAAGGACGCAGCAAAAUGCGAUACUUGGUGUGAAUGGCAGAAUCCCGUGAACCAUCGAGUUUUUGAACGCAAGUUGCGCCCGAAGCCAUUCGGCCGAGGGCACGUCUGCCUGGGCGUCACGC